AGGUCCUUGAUUCGAAAUUCAUCAUGCAAGAAAGCUUUUAAUUCUGAUAGUUCUGUAGGAUUGUUGCCUGUGAGUAGGAUGUCGUCCACAUACACUACCACAAUAGAAAUGAGGUCCCCUGUCUUCUUAAAAAUAAUGAGUAAUCAUUAAGUGAAGAAGAAUAACCUUUAAAACUCAAAGCUCUAGCAAGUCCGGCAUACCACUGCCUAGAUACCUAUUUUAAUCCGUAUAAAGAUUUCCUUAAUUUCCACACAAGAUUGGGCUAGAAAGUGUGAUACCAACAGGGAACUUCAUAUAAUCUUCUUCAUGUAAAUCACCAUGUAAAAAGGCAUUGCUAACAUCUAAUUGUGCAAUGCUCCAGUCUCGUUUGAUUGCAAUAGCCAACAAACACCUAAUUGUUGUCAUUUUGACCAUUGGUGAGAAGGUCUCGUUGUAAUAAAUACCUUCUCGCUGAAUAUCCCUUCGAAUCACCAACCUGGCCUUUAAUCGCUCAAUUGACCCAUCGGUAUUAUGUCUUACCUUGUAUCCCCAUUUACAAGGCAAAGCCUUCCUCCCCUUUGGUAGAGACACUACCUCCAAGGUUUGAUUUGUUUGGAGAGCAUCAAUUUCUGAAUCCAUAGUUUUCUUCCAUCUAGGAUGAAAUGAUGCUUGAGUAAAAUUAGUAGGCUCAGUCACAGUAGCAAUAGACUUCAACAAUUGUUGAUUCUGAAAUGAUAAGGCAUUAAAAGCAAAACUGGAAGGUUGUGAGGAUUGUGAGAAACAGGCAGAGGACACAUCUGUGAGGUAAAGAUUGUUGCAAACAUAGUCUUUUAGAUGUGCGGGGAAUUUAGUCACCCUUUAUGAUUUUCUAAAUGGUUAAAUAGGACAAGGAGCAGGACUACUAAGAAGAAGUUGAGAAGGUGAUCUAGGAGAAAGUGAGUUAUUGCGAGAAAUUGGGCUGAGUUGAGUAGGGGAAGAGGGAAACAAUGAACUAGGAGAAUAUUGGUUGAUGUCUUGUGGUUCAGGAACAAGUAAUGUUGGUAGAGAAAGAGGCUUGUCAUUAGGAAUAAUUGUGUCAGGAGUAUAAAAGAUGGGCUGAGGUUUAGGUGCUUGGGUAAAGGUAAAUUAGUUUCAUGGAACUGUACAUCUCUAGAUACAACAAUCUUCUUGUUGUCUAGUUCCAAAAGCUCGUACCCUUUCUGUCCGGGAGGGUACCCUAAAAACACACAUGCCUUAGCUCUUGGUUCAAACUUCCCCUUGUUUUGUGCUAAAGGAUAUACAUAACAUAGGCAACCAAAAGUCCUCUAAACUGUGUAAUUAGGGAAUUCUCCAAAGAUCACCUCAUAUGGAGUCAUUCCUUUAAGAACUCUAGAAGGAAUCCUAUUAAUCAGAUGUGUUGUUGUUAGCACACAUUCACCCCAGUAUGAUAUAGGCACCUUUGACUGAAACAUUAAGGCCCUUGCUAUUUCUAACAAAUGCAUGUGUUUUCUUUCAACCACCCAAUUUUGUAGAGGGGUGGCAACACAGGAUGUUUGGUGGAGUAUGCCCUGAGAGAGAAAGUAUUCAGAAUGUACAGAACCUUUUCCUAAUUCCAUUGCAUUAUCUGACCUGAUCACCUUCACCUUUAGAUCAAACUAACCAUUUUCAAAAAAAAGUUGUAAGACACUGAAUGCAUUACUUUUUGUAAUCAACAAGUAUGUCCAUGUUGCCCCUACUAAAGUCAUCAACUAUGGUCAAGAAGUAUUUGUAACCAUUAUAAGUAGAAGCUUUGUAAGGCCCCCAAGUAUCUAUGUGGAUUAGUUCAAAUAUUCGUUUUGUUGAAGUAUGACUUAUUGGAAAAGGUUUUCUAGUUUGCCUUGCCAAAGGACAUACAUCACAAGAAUAGUUUGAAUUAGGAAGAAAGGAAAUAGUACGGAUAUUUUUCAUUGCAUGGAAAGGCAAACGCCCCAACCUAUUGUGCCAUAACAUUACAUCAGAUACUAAUUUAGCAGAAGAAACUGAAACUGAAACUGAAUUGUUCUCUUUAGACAGUAGAGAAACAUUUGAUUGAAAAGAAAUUCCUAGAUUGGGUACUACAUAGCCUAAGCAAAUAUAGUCCUUCUUUGACUUCACCAAAAACUUGAGGUCUCUUCAUUAAAGAGCCCUCCAGAAGACAUUCAGUAUGAGUAAAGAGUACGAACAUUUAAAC
rnacentral:lncRNA from 1 species